rnacentral:rRNA from 1 species
CCUACGGGCGGCAGCAGUGGGGAAUAUUGCACAAUGGGCGCAAGCCUGAUGCAGCCAUGCCGCGUGUGUGAAGAAGGCCUUCGGGUUGUAAAGCACUUUCAGCGGGGAGGAAGGCGGUGAGGUUAAUAACCUCAUCGAUUGACGUUACCCGCAGAAGAAGCACCGGCUAACUCCGUGCCAGCAGCCGCGGUAAUACGGAGGGUGCAAGCGUUAAUCGGAAUUACUGGGCGUAAAGCGCACGCAGGCGGUCUGUCAAGUCGGAUGUGAAAUCCCCGGGCUCAACCUGGGAACUGCAUUCGAAACAGGCAGGCUAGAGUCUUGUAGAGGGGGGUAGAAUUCCAGGUGUAGCGGUGAAAUGCGUAGAGAUCUGGAGGAAUACCGGUGGCGAAGGCGGCCCCCUGGACAAAGACUGACGCUCAGGUGCGAAAGCGUGGGGAGCAAACAGGAUUAGAUACCCCAGUAGUC